rnacentral:rRNA from 1 species
UACGAAGGGGGCUAGCGUUGCUCGGAAUCACUGGGCGUAAAGGGUGCGUAGGCGGGUCUUUAAGUCAGGGGUGAAAUCCUGGAGCUCAACUCCAGAACUGCCUUUGAUACUGAGGAUCUUGAGUUCGGGAGAGGUGAGUGGAACUGCGAGUGUAGAGGUGAAAAUUCGUAGAUAUCGGGAGGAACACCAGUGGCGAAGGCGACUACCUGGCCUGUUCUUGACGCUGAGGCGCGAAAGCUAGGGGAGCAAACGGG